RRNAGCCACCGCUAUUGGGGUUCGGCUAAGCCACGCGAGUGGAGGGCGUCCCGCAAGGGAUGGCCCCGCACACGGCUCAGUAACACGUAGUCAACCUACCCUCGGGACGGGGACAACCUCGGGGAACUGAGGACAAUUCCCGAUAGGUGAGGGACGCUGGAAUGCCCCCUCGCCCAAAUCCUCUGGGGCCCGAGGAUGGGACUGCGGCCUAUCAGGCUGUUGGUGGUGUAACGGACCACCAAACCUGUAACGGGUACGGGCGAUGGGAGUCGGAGCCCGGAGAUGGGGACUGAGACAAGGCCCCAGGCCCUACGGGGCGCAGCAGGCGCGAAAACUCCGCAAUGCGCGCAAGCGUGACGGGGGGACCCCAAGUGCCGUUGGUCUUUGAUCGACGGCUUUUCAGGAGUCUAAGAAGCUCCUGGAAUAAGGGCUGGGUAAGUCGGGUGCCAGCCGCCGCGGUAAUACCCGCAGCCCAAGUGGUGGUCGCGAUUAUUGGGCCUAAAGCGCUCGUAGCCGGGCUGGCAAGUCCCUUGUGAAAUCGGACCGCCUAACGGUUCGGCGUGCAAGGGAUACUGUCGGUCUUGAGGCCGGGAGACGUCUGAUGUACUCCGGGGGUAGCGGUGAAAUGCCGUAAUCCUCGGGGGACCACCAGUGGCGAAGGCGUCAGACGAGAACGGACCUGACGG
rnacentral:rRNA from 1 species